UACGUAGGGUGCAAGCGUUAAUCGGAAUUACUGGGCGUAAAGCGUGCGUAGGCGGUUGCGCAAGACAGGUGUGAAAUCCCCGGGCUUAACCUGGGAAUUGCACUUGUGGCUGUGCGGCUGGAGUGCGGCAGAGGGGGAUGGAAUUCCGCGUGUAGCAGUGAAAUGCGUAGAUAUGCGGAGGAACACCGAUGGCGAAGGCAGUCCCCUGGGCCUGCACUGACGCUCAUGCACGAAAGCGUGGGGAGCAAACAGG
rnacentral:rRNA from 1 species